rnacentral:lncRNA from 1 species
CAACUCCAACUGCAGGCAGACUUUGCCCGGACUCCUACGGGACCCAGGUCUCGUCCCCAACUCCGACUGAAAGAAGACUUUGUCCGGACUCCUACGAGAGCCAGACUCCAAGCUCCUCUCGGACGGGUGGUUAGCCACCUCUCUCCGCCAGACACUCCAGCCGAACUCUGACCGACAGGCCUGGACCCCCUGGCAGGCCGC